UAAAACCCAUCUUCUCUCCCUGGUUCGCCGAGAUUGGGAUCGGACGCAUGGCUUGCCGCGCUUAUUUCUCCGUCCGAUGUCCGUCCGAUACGCCCCGUUUCAUGCCCGAAUUUCAGCUACAAAACUAUAGGCCGUCUCUUCUCUUACAUAAACAUCUCCUUCCCUGCUCUUCACCUUUGCUUCCCCACAAGAUCUCGUGUUUGAGUAGUAGGCGCCGUACCUGUGUUCCUGUGAGGUCUCACAGGGUGACUGAGGAUAAACCCGUAUCAGAGGACAGAAUGCUUGUGUUUGUGCCUCCACAUCCAUUGAUAAAGCACUGGGUUUCAGUUUUGAGGAACGAACAAACUCCUUGUCCAAUUUUUAGGAAUGCAAUGGCUGAGUUGGGCAGGUUGCUGAUUUAUGAGGCAUCAAGGGAUUGGCUGCCUACUGUCACAGGAGAUAUCCAAUCACCAAUGGGAGUUGCUUCCGUUGAAUUUAUUGAUCCUAGGGAGCCUAUAGCGGUUGUUCCAAUCUUGAGAGCUGGCCUUGCUUUGGCAGAAAAUGCAUCAUCAAUCUUGCCGGCAACAAGAACAUACCAUCUGGGAUUAAGUAGAGAUGAGGAGACUCUUCAGCCGAGUGUAUAUUUGAACAAGUUACCUGAUAAAUUUUUGGAAGAGUCUCGAGUGAUUUUGGUGGAUCCUAUGUUGGCAACAGGUGGCACAAUAGUGGCAGCAGUCGACCUCGUAAAGGAACGUGGGGUCGAUAACAAGCAAAUUAGAGUGAUAUCUGCUGUAGCCGCUCCUCCUGCCCUUCAGAAGCUCAGUGAGAAGUUUCCUGGGCUUCAGGUAUAUACCGGAAUCAUUGAUCCUUCCGUCAAUGACAAAGGGUUCAUCAUUCCUGGACUUGGAGAUGCAGGAGAUCGUAGCUUUGGUACAUAGUCAUCCAACUUGUCCAGCUAAACGGAAAGAUAUGGUCCCCCAACACCUACCCAGUUCUGUAUGAUCACCUCUUGCAAUUUUGAUAUAUUGAGCUCUUCAUCAGUAGUUUUCAAGCAUAUUAUUAUUUAGAUGCCGAAAGGCAGGGAAGUUGGAUUUCCCCCACUACUCCAGCUGCUGCUACUGCCAUCUUCUUCUUUGCCAUUGGUUUUACCAGUUCUGGCUGAAUUACCUGCCUCACCAGGUUUAACUUCCCCACCUUCAACGUCGAUCUUUAUUUCUUUCUUCCCAUCA